AUUGAACGCUGGCGGCAGGCCUAACACAUGCAAGUCGGACGGUAGCACAGAGGAGCUUGCUCCUCGGGUGACGAGUGGCGGACGGGUGAGUAAUGUCUGGGGAUCUGCCCGAUAGAGGGGGAUAACCACUGGAAACGGUGGCUAAUACCGCAUAACGUCGCAAGACCAAAGAGGGGGACCUUCGGGCCUCUCACUAUCGGAUGAACCCAGAUGGGAUUAGCUAGUAGGCGGGGUAAUGGCCCACCUAGGCGACGAUCCCUAGCUGGUCUGAGAGGAUGACCAGCCACACUGGAACUGAGACACGGUCCAGACUCCUACGGGAGGCAGCAGCGGGGAAUAUUGCACAAUGGGCGCAAGCCUGAUGCAGCCAAGCCGCGUGUAUGAAGAAGGCCUUCGGGUUGUAAAGUACUUUCAGCGGGGAGGAAGGCGAUAAGGUUAAUAACCUUGUCGAUUGACGUUACCCGCAGAAGAAGCACCGGCUAACUCCGUGCCAGCAGCCGCCGUAA
rnacentral:rRNA from 1 species